rnacentral:rRNA from 1 species
GAGUUUGAUCCUGGCUCAGGACGAACGCWGGCGGCGUGCUUAACACAUGCAAGUCGAACGGUAAGGCCCUUCGGGGUACACGAGUGGCGAACGGGUGAGUAACACGUGGGUGAUSUGCCCUGCACUUCGGGAUAAGCCCGGGAAACUGGGUCUAAUACCGRAUAGGAYUGCKCGGUGCAUGCCGUGUGGUGGAAAGAUUUAUCGGUGCAGGAUGGGCCCGCGGCCUAUCAGCUUGUUGGUGGGGUAAUGGCCUACCAAGGCGACGACGGGUAGCCGGCCUGAGAGGGCGACCGGCCACACUGGGACUGAGACACGGCCCAGACUCMUACSRGAGGCARCWKUGGGGAAUAUUGCA